GUAGUACUCCCUCCGUACGGAAAUACUUGUCAUCAAAAUGAAUAAAAGGGGAUGUAUCUAGAUGUAUAUUAGUUCUAGAUACAUCUUUUUUAUCCAUUUUGAUGACAAGUAUUUUUGGAUGGAGGGAGUACUUG
rnacentral:pre_miRNA from 1 species